rnacentral:misc_RNA from 1 species
GAGUGGGACGCCACUUCUUUGGUGCACUAGACGUGUAUUGUUAAAUGGGAAAUUAACAUGAUGCGGGGCACAUGGCCUUGACAAGUGAUGCAUGCAAUGUUAAGUGACCAUGCAAUGUAGCGUGAGGAGCCAAAGUGGCCAAGUAAGUGGCGCACUAAGUGACAUUGCACAUGGGACGGUGAAGAGGUCUCAUGACCAGCACAUGCAACGCAUAAGUGGGACAUCCACUUCCCUCACACAUGGGACAUGCAUAAUGUAAAAUGUGAGAAAAUGCCAUGUAGCGUGAAAGAGCCAAGUGGAGCGCACCAAAGGGAAUUGCAUGGGACCAAGUUGGACUUUGCAUGAGAAUUGCUAAGUGGUUUGUUCAUGGAGCGGCAAGUGGAGCUUGGGACCGAAUUUGCAUGGCCAACCUUAGCACAUGCAGCGUGAGAAUUAUGGAGGGAUUUAUCCCGCCCAAUGGAAGACCAAGUUGGUGGGACCCAUGAUACUUGCCGCCCAAAACAUGUCCUUUGGUCAUUUUGAAAUACACCAAGCGGGAGCUAGGUGUCCAAAGGCAGCCGGUCAUCAAUCCUUCCCAUUUAUAUUUUAUUUGUAAUGUAAUAUUGGCCACACAAUAUCCAUCAUUUAGGGGCAGCCGGCCAAGCUUGUAUAAAAGGGAUUUGUUUCCCAUUUCAUGUAGAUAGUGCGAGAGUUUGAGGGAGUGACGGGAGAGCACCAUUGUUGAGAGCUUUGAGAGCUUGUUUUUCCUUUAUGGCAAUUGUAAAGUUUGUGUAAAGGAAUAAAGAAGUAGCUUUCUACUUCCUAAACCCUUGUCUCUACCUUUCUUGUUGAAUGUUUAAUGUUCUUGCUUGCCGAAUGCAUGCUUGUUGAAUGGUGUGCUUGCCUUGUAUUGCGCAUUGUUGAUUGAAGAUUGCAUGAGAUUGUUGCCUUGCGUGGGACUCUUG